rnacentral:rRNA from 1 species
GAAUAUUGGACAAUGGGGGAAACCCUGAUCCAGCCAUGCCGCGUGAGUGACGAAGGCCUUAGGGUUGUAAAGCUCUUUCGACGGGGAAGAUGAUGACGGUACCCGUAGAAGAAGCCCCGGCUAACUCCGUGCCAGCAGCCGCGGUAAUACGGAGGGGGCUAGCGUUGUUCGGAAUUACGGGGCGUAAAGCGCACGUAGGCGGCUCUGCAAGUCAGAGGUGAAAUCCCCAGGCUCAACCUGGGAAUUGCCUUUGAUACUGCGGGGCUAGAGGCCGGGAGAGGGUAGUGGAAUUCCCAGUGUAGAGGUGAAAUUCGUAGAUAUUGGGAAGAACACCGGUGGCGAAGGCGGCUACCUGGACCGGUACUGACGCUGAGGUGCGAAAGCGUGGGGAGCAAACAG